AUUGAACGCUGGCGGCAGGCUUAACACAUGCAAGUCGAGCGGGGGAAGGUAGCCUGCUACCGGACCUAGCGGCGGACGGGUGAGUAAUGCUUAGGAAUCUGCCUAUUAGUGGGGGACAACAUCUCGAAAGGGAUGCUAAUACCGCAUACGUCCUACGGGAGAAAGCAGGGGAUCUUCGGACCUUGCGCUAAUAGAUGAGCCUAAGUCGGAUUAGCUAGUUGGCGGGGUAAAGGCCUACCAAGGCGACGAUCUGUAGCGGAUCUGAGAGGAUGAUCCGCCACACUGGGACUGAGACACGGCCCAGACUCCUACGGGAGGCAGCAGUGGGGAAUAUUGGACAAUGGGGGGAACCCUGAUCCAGCCAUGCCGCGUGUGUGAAGAAGGCCUUAUGGUUGUAAAGCACUUUAAGCGAGGAGGAGGCUACUCUAGUUAAUACCUAGGGAUAGUGGACGUUACUCGCAGAAUAAGCACCGGCUAACUCUGUGCCAGCAGCCGCCGUAA
rnacentral:rRNA from 1 species